CUGGGGAAGGGCUGUAGCUCAAUGGCAGAGCACCUGCUUUGCAUGCAGAAGGUGCCGGAUUUGAUCCCUGGAAUCCCCAGG